CCGACGGUGAGAGACGAAAGCUGGGGGAGCAAACCGGAUUAGGUACCCGGGUAGUCCCAGCCGUAAACGAUGUGCGUUAGGUGUAUCGGUGACCACGAGCCACCGAGGUGCCGAAGAGAAAUCGUGAAACGUACCGCCUGGGAAGUACGGUCGCAAGGCUGAAACUUAAAGGAAUUGGCGGGGGAGCACCACAACAGGUGGAGCCUGCGGUUUAAUCGGACUCAACGCCGGGAAACUCACCAGAUAAGACAGCUGAAUGAUAGUCGGGCUGAAGACUCUACUUGACUAGCUGAGAGGAGGUGCAUGGCCGUCGUCAGUUCGUACUGUGAAGCAUCCUGUUAAGUC
rnacentral:rRNA from 1 species